GUCGCAUCGCAGCCAACCGGAGGCACGAUGAUCCCUAGAUGUGCGGCGUAAGUUAUCCAGCCCUCGGCAUGGCCAUAAGCGGAGCUGAAUGUCAGAAGAGUCUCAUCUUGUGAAGCAUGGGCGCAGGCUCGAGCGACCGUAUUCCCUGGAAUUUCACGGUGAAGAGGAUGCGUAUCGCCUGCGCUCGUAACGGUCUCCAGCUGGGGAUGCAGAGAGAGAGGAAGCGCACCAAAGAGCAGCACAGGAGGGGAGCAGAGCACCGUAAGGAGGUGCAAAGCUGGAUAUUGACCCCUUAGGAUACAGACACGGGAGGUGACUUGGGCCAGGUGUGGUGCAAGGAUGGCACCCGAAAAUGAUGCAGGCCAGGUGCCGCAGGGAGCCUCGGAGGGGCGAAGCCACGUGCCGACGAGCAGUCAGAGAAGGCGCUGUGCGGCCACCUUUGUGACCGGAUGGCCAUUUGAGGUGCCACGAGGGAUGACAGCUGCAGGGUCAGUCUCUGGACCGAGCAGGUGA